CAGUAGCCGCGGGAACACGGAGGGGGCUAGCGUUGUUCGGAAUUACUGGGCGUAAAGCGCACGUAGGCUGCUUUGUAAGUUAGGGGUGAAAGCCUGGUGCUCAACACCAGAACUGCCUUUAAGACUGCAGAGCUAGAACGUCGGAGAGGUGAGUGGAAUUCCGAGUGUAGAGGUGAAAUUCGUAGAUAUUCGGAAGAACACCAGUAGCGAAGGCGGCUCACUGGACGACUGUUGACGCUGAGGUGCGAAAGCGUGGGGAGCAAACAGGAUUAGAUACCCCUGUAGUCCCUGUCUCUUAUAC
rnacentral:rRNA from 1 species